GAGCAGCAGAAGGAUCUGAGUG
rnacentral:miRNA from 1 species